rnacentral:piRNA from 1 species
GCCAAAAUNGAAGAGGAUAGACCUUCGA